UAUUUCGAACCGCAUGGUUCGAUAGUGAAAGAUGGUUUUGCUAUCACUUAUAGAUGGACCCGCGCCGUAUUAGCUAGUUGGUAAGGUAACGGCUUACCAAGGCGACGAUACGUAGCCGACCUGAGAGGGUGAUCGGCCACACUGGAACUGAGACACGGUCCAGACUCCUACGGGAGGCAGCAGUAGGGAAUCUUCCGCAAUGGGCGAAAGCCUGACGGAGCAACGCCGCGUGAGUGAUGAAGGUCUUCGGAUCGUAAAACUCUGUUAUUAGGGAAGAACAUACGUGUAAGUAACUAUGCACGUCUUGACGGUACCUAAUCAGAAAGCCACGGCUAACUACGUGCCAGCAGCCGCGGUAAUACGUAGGUGGCAAGCGUUAUCCGGAAUUAUUGGGCGUAAAGCGCGCGUAGGCGGUUUUUUAAGUCUGAUGUGAAAGCCCACGGCUCAACCGUGGAGGGUCAUUGGAAACUGGAAAACUUGAGUGCAGAAAAGGAAAGUGGAAUUCCAUGUGUAGCGGUGAAAUGCGCAGAGAUAUGGAGGAACACCAGUGUCGAAGGCGACUUUCUGGUCUGUAACUGACGCUGAUGUGCGAAAGCGUGGGGAUCAAACAGGAUUAUAUACCC
rnacentral:rRNA from 1 species